rnacentral:lncRNA from 1 species
UGAAUGCUAUGAGCGUCUCCUUUAUAACGGGGCGGUGACACGUGUACCAGCAGGCUCGACAAAUAACAAAACUUUUUCCUUCUUUUUCGUGUUGG